ACAGCGCGUAGCUUAACUAAAGCACCUUGCUUACACCAAGAACAUGCCAGAUUACAUCUUGCCGCACUGA
rnacentral:tRNA from 1 species